CACGUAGGCACCAAGCGUUGUCCGGAUUUAUUGAGCGUAAAGAGCUCGUAGGCGGUUCGGUAAGUCGGGUGUGAAAACUCUGGGCUCAACCCAGAGCCGCCACCCGAUACUGCUGUGACUCGAGUGCGGUAGGGGAGCGGGGAAUUCCUGGUGUAGCGGUGAAAUGCGCAGAUAUCAGGAGGAACACCAGUGGCGAAGGCGCCGCUCUGGGCCGUGACUGACGCUGAGGAGCGAAAGCGUGGGUA
rnacentral:rRNA from 1 species